rnacentral:rRNA from 1 species
UACGUAGGGUGCGAGCGUUAAUCGGAAUCACUGGGCGUAAAGCGUGCGUAGGCGGUCCGCGAAGUCUGAUGUGAAAGCCCCGGGCUCAACCUGGGAACUGCAUUGGAAACUAACGGGCUCGAGUGUGGCAGAGGGGGGUGGAAUUCCACGUGUAGCAGUGAAAUGCGUAGAGAUGUGGAGGAACACCGAUGGCGAAGGCAGCCCCCUGGGCUAACACUGACGCUCAGGCACGAAAGCGUGGGGAGCAAACAGG